GAUGAACGCUGGCGGCGUGCUUAACACAUGCAAGUCGAACGAAGUGGAGAUCUUCGGAUUGAAAUUUAGUGGCGGACGGGUGAGUAACGCGUGAGCAACCUGCCUUACAGAGGGGGACAACAGUUGGAAACGACUGCUAAUACCGCAUGAUGUAGCGAGGAGGCAUCUCUUUGCUACCAAAGAUUUUAUCGCUGUAAGAUGGGCUCGCGUAUGAUUAGCUAGUUGGCGGGGUAACGGCCCACCAAGGCAACGAUCGUUAGGGGUUCUGAGAGGAAGGUCCCCCACACUGGAACUGAGACACGGUCCAGACUCCUACGGGAGGCAGCAGUGAGGAAUAUUGGUCAAUGGGCGGGAGCCUGAACCAGCCAAGUAGCGUGAAGGAUGACUGCCCUACGGGUUGUAAAACUUUCUUUUGUUUGGGAAUAAAGACGCUACGUGUAGCGUUGUGCAUGUACCUUACGAAUAAGCAUCGGCUAAUUCCGUG
rnacentral:rRNA from 1 species